rnacentral:rRNA from 1 species
UACGGAGGAUGCAAGCGUUAUCCGGAAUGAUUGGGCGUAAAGCGUCCGCAGGUGGCUAUGUAAGUCUGCUGUUAAAGAGUGAGGCUCAACCUCAUAAGAGCAGUGGAAACUACAUGGCUAGAGUGCGUUCGGGGCAGAGGGAAUUCCUGGUGUAGCGGUGAAAUGCGUAGAUAUCUGGAGGAACACCGGUGGCGAAGGCGGCAUCCUGGACCGAGAUUGACGCUGAGGCGCGAAAGCCAGGGGAGCAAACGGG